GGGCUUGUGGUCUAGUUGGCUAUGACGUCGCCUUGACAUGGCGGAGGUCCUGCGUUCGAAUCGCAGCAGGCCCA
rnacentral:tRNA from 2 species